AAUUUGUUCAUUUGUAUAGUUGAUCCUUGAACAGCUUGGAAGUUCGGGGCACUGACCCCCAUGCAGUUGAAAGUCCACAUAUAACUUUUUGACUCCCCAAAAACUUGUCUGAGAGUUUCCUGUUGUCUGAAAGCCUUACUGAUAGCAUAAAUAGCACAACAUUCUGAAAUUUUUUGGUUAUUGUAAUGAUGUUGAUCGGGAGUUGAGAAAAUGCCUGAAGAAUGAGUACGUAGAAAACAGGACCAAGAGCAGGGAGCAUGGCAUUGCAAUGCGAAAGAAACUUUUUAAUCCUCCAGAGGAAUCCGAAAAAUAAAUUGUAUUUUCACUCGAUGCCUUGGCUGAGAGAAGACCUAAAGACUCUGGGUUGAUACCUGAAAGAAUCCUGUCUUAUUUGGUCUCCAUAAUCCUUUGAAUGGAAAGUGACCUGUGAGAGAUUGAACCAUGGAGAAAUAUGAAAACCCUGGAUUCUGAGUAUUUGUUGGGCAGGGCGUUUAGUACUGUCUCCCCUUUACCAGCAAACCUGACUUCACCAUGUUUAUUCCCUUUGCCUACAACCAGUUAAUAUCUGAGUAACUUAUCUCCUUCAAUAAAAUAAUUUAAAUAAU
rnacentral:lncRNA from 1 species